rnacentral:rRNA from 1 species
AACGCGAAGAACCUUACCUGGGCUCGAAAUGUAGUGGACUGAGGUAGAAAUAUCUCUUCCCCGCAAGGGGCUGCUAUAUAGGUGCUGCAUGGCUGUCGUCAGCUCGUGUCGUGAGAUGUUGGGUUAAGUCCCGCAACGAGCGCAACCCUUAUCCCUAGUUGCCAUCGGGUCAAGCCGGGCACUCUAGUGAAACCGCACAGGAUAACUGUGAGGAAGGUGGGGAUGACGUCAAGUCCUCAUGGCCUUUAUGUCCAGGGCUACACACGUGCUACAAUGGUCGGUACAAACCGUCGCAAACCCGCGAGGGGAAGCUAAUCGGAAAAAGCCGGCCUCAGUUCGGAUUGGAGUCUGCAACCCGACUCCAUGAAGCUGGAAUCGCUAGUAAUCGCGGAUCAGAACGCCGCGGUGAAUACGUUCCCGGGCCUUGUA